rnacentral:rRNA from 1 species
CUUGAAUGACAUCACAAUUUCCUACGGGGGGCAGCAGUGGGGAAUAUUGCACAAUGGGCGCAAGCCUGAUGCAGCCAUGCCGCGUGUGUGAAGAAGGCCUUAGGGUUGUAAAGCACUUUCAGUGGGGAGGAAAGGUGGAGGUUAAUACCCUUUGGCUGUGACGUUACCCACAGAAGAAGCACCGGCUAACUCCGUGCCAGCAGCCGCGGUAAUACGGAGGGUGCGAGCGUUAAUCGGAAUUACUGGGCGUAAAGCGUGCGUAGGCGGCCACCUAAGUUGGAUGUGAAAGCCCCGGGCUCAACCUGGGAACUGCAUCCAAAACUGGGUGGCUGGAGUACGGGAGAGGAGUGUGGAAUUUCUCGUGUAGGGGUGA